rnacentral:rRNA from 1 species
GACGAACGCUGGCGGCGUGCUUAACACAUGCAAGUCGAACGGAAAGGCCCUGCUUUUGUGGCGUGCUCGAGUGGCGAACGGGUGAGUAACACGCGAGUAACCUGCCCUUGACUUUGGGAUAACGUCUGGAAACUGGGGCUAAUACCGGAUAGGAGCUCCUGCUGCAUGGUGGGGGUUGGAAAGUUUCGGCGGUUGGGGAUGGACUCGCGGCUUAUCAGCUUGUUGGUGGGGUAGUGGCUUACCAAGGCUUUGACGGGUAGCCGGCCUGAGAGGGUGACCGGCCACAGUGGGACUGAGAUACGGCGCAGACUCCUACGGGAGGCAGAAGUGGAGAAUAUUGCAGAAUGGGCGGAAGCCUGAGGCAGCAACGCCGCGUGCGGGAUGACGGCCUUCGGGUUGUAAACCGAUGUCGCCUGUGACGAAGCGUGAGUGACGGUAAUGGGUAAAGAAGCACCGGCUAACUACGUG